AGGGGCAGCAUUUCAGUUUGCUUGCAAACUGGAGAUGGCGACCGGCGCACGGGUGAGUAACACGUAUCCAACCUGCCGAUAACUCGGGGAUAGCCUUUCGAAAGAAAGAUUAAUACCCGAUAGUAUAAUGAAACCGCAUGGUCUUAUUAUUAAAGAAUUUCGGUUAUCGAUGGGGAUGCGUUCCAUUAGGCAGUUGGUGAGGUAACGGCUCACCAAACCUUCGAUGGAUAGGGGUUCUGAGAGGAAGGUCCCCCACAUUGGAACUGAGACACGGUCCAAACUCCUACGGGAGGCAGCAGUGAGGAAUAUUGGUCAAUGGGCGCAGGCCUGAACCAGCCAAGUAGCGUGAAGGAUGACUGCCCUAUGGGUUGUAAACUUCUUUUAUAUGGGAAUAAAGUUUUCCACGUGUGGAAUUUUGUAUGUACCAUAUGAAUAAGGAUCGGCUAACUCCGUGCCAGCAGCCGCGGUAAUACGGAGGAUCCGAGCGUUAUCCGGAUUUAUUGGGUUUAAAGGGAGCGUAGGUGGACAGUUAAGUCAGUUGUGAAAGUUUGCGGCUCAACCGUAAAAUUGCAGUUGAUACUGGCUGUCUUGAGUACAGUAGAGGUGGGCGGAAUUCGUGGUGUAGCGGUGAAAUGCUUAGAUAUCACGAAGAACUCCGAUUGCGAAGGCAGCUCACUGGACUGCAACUGACACUGAUGCUCGAAAGUGUGGGUAUCAAACAGGAUUAGAUACCCUGGUAGUCCACACAGUAAACGAUGAAUACUCGCUGUUUGCGAUAUACAGUAAGCGGCCAAGCGAAAGCAUUAAGUAUUCCACCUGGGAGAGCUACGCCGGCAACGGUGAAACUCAAAGGAAUUGACGGGGGCCCGCACAAGCGGAGGAACAUGUGGUUUAAUUCGAUGAUACGCGAGGAACCUUACCCGGGCUUAAAUUGCAUUUGAAUAUUUUGGAAACAGGAUAGCCGUAAGGCAAAUGUGAAGGUGCUGCAUGGUUGUCGUCAGCUCGUGCCGUGAGGUGUCGGCUUAAGUGCCAUAACGAGCGCAACCCUUAUCUUUAGUUACUAACAGGUCAUGCUGAGGACUCUAGAGAGACUGCCGUCGUAAGAUGUGAGGAAGGUGGGGAUGACGUCAAAUCAGCACGGCCCUUACGUCCGGGGCUACACACGUGUUACAAUGGGGGGUACAGAAGGCAGCUACCUGGUGACAGGAUGCUAAUCCCAAAAGCCUCU
rnacentral:rRNA from 1 species